AUUGUAACAUAGCGGGAGGAAAGAAACCAACAGGGAUUGCCCCAGUAACGGCGAGUGAAGCGGCAGGAGCUCAAAUUUGAAAUCUGGGGUCCACGACCUCCGAGUUGUAAUUUGGAGAGGCAUCUUCGGGGGGGAGCGCCGGCCCAUGUUCCUUGGAACAGGACGUCGCAGAGGGUGAGAAUCCCGUGCCAGGCCGGCUGCCUCCUCCCGGGUGAAGGGCCUUCGACGAGUCGAGUUGUUUGGGAAUGCAGCUCCAAGUGGGUGGUAAAUUUCAUCUAAAGCUAAAUACCGGCGGGAGACCGAUAGCGCACAAGUAGAGUGAUCGAAAGAUGAAAAGCACUUUGAAAAUAGAGUCAAAAAGUACGUGAAAUUGUUGAAAGGGAAGCGCUUGAGACCAGACUCAGGCCCGGGCAAACAUCGCGCCCCCCGGGGCCGUGCAAUUGCCUGGGGCUGGGCCAGCAUCAGUUGGCGUGGCGGGACAAAGGCGCGGGCAAUGUGGCUCCCCUCGGGGAGUGUUAUUAGGCCCGUGCUCAAUGCCGCCGACGCCGACUGAGGACCGCGCCUCGGCUAGGAUGCUGGCUUAAUGGCCUUCAGCGACCCGUCUUGAAACACGGACCAAGGAGUCUAACAUCUAUGCGAGUGUUUGGGCGCCAAACCCUUGCGCGGAAUGAAAGUGAGCGGAGGUGGGAACCCCCCAGCGGGGCGCACCAUCGACCGAUCCUGAUGUCUUCGGAUGGAUUUGAGUAGGAGCAUAGCUGUUGGGACCCGAAAGAUGGUGAACUAUGCCUGAAUAGGGUGAAGCCAGAGGAAACUCUGGUGGAGGCUCGCAGCGGUUCUGACGUGCAAAUCGAUCGUCAAAUUUGGGUAUAGGGGCGAAAGACAAUCAACCUU
rnacentral:rRNA from 1 species